AUACGUAGGUGGCAAGCGUUGUCCGGAAUUAUUGGGCGUAAAGCGCAUGUAGGCGGUAAUUUAAGUCUGUCGUGAAACUGCGGGGCUCAGCCCCGUAUGGCGAUGGAAACUGGGUUACUUGAGUGCAGGAGAGGAAAGGGGAACUCCCAGUGUAGCGGUGAAAUGCGUAGAUAUUGGGAAGAACACCGGUGGCGAAGGCGCCUUUCUGGACUGUGUCUGACGCUGAGAUGCGAAAGCCAGGGUAGCGAACGGGAUUAGAUACCCCGGUAGUCCUGGCCGUAGACGAUGGGUACUAGGUGUGGGAGGUAUCGACCCCUUCCGUGCCGGAGUUAACGCAAUAAGUACCCCGCCUGGGGAGUACGGCCGCAAGGCUUAAACUCAAAUGAAUUGACGGGG
rnacentral:rRNA from 1 species